UGCUAGAUGGCCUGUAAGUCGCUUUAGAUAAAAGUGUCUGCUAAAUUGCAUAUU
rfam:Salmo salar isolate Sally breed double haploid chromosome ssa28, whole genome shotgun sequence.